rnacentral:rRNA from 1 species
UGCAUGCUUGCAGUCUGAAGAAAAAAUGUAAACGAAACCAAAACUUUCAACAACGGAUCUCUUGGUUCUGGCAACGAUGAAGAACGCAGCGAAAUGCGAUAAGUAAUGCGAAUUGCAGAAUUCAGUGAAUCAUCGAAUCUUUGAACGCACAUUGCGCC